UUCAAUAUAUUCCCCUCUCAAAUUCACACACUUGUUGAAGCGGUCCUUCAGUUUUUCUAAACUCUGUAAAAGAACUCGGAAAGUUGGGUCCCCAACCAAGCCUUUCGUAAUACCCUUAAAUCCAGGAACUCUUCAGCAAUCCCUCAUAUAGUUCAAUAAUAUAAAUUCGACAUGGG